CGGACGGGUGAGUAAUGCUUAGGAAUCUGCCUAUUAGUGGGGGACAACAUUCCGAAAGGAAUGCUAAUACCGCAUACGCCCUACGGGGGAAAGCAGGGGAUCUUCGGACCUUGCGCUAAUAGAUGAGCCUAAGUCAGAUUAGCUAGUUGGUGGGGUAAAGGCCUACCAAGGCGACGAUCUGUAGCGGGUCUGAGAGGAUGAUCCGCCACACUGGGACUGAGACACGGCCCAGACUCCUACGGGAGGCAGCAGUGGGGAAUAUUGGACAAUGGGCGCAAGCCUGAUCCAGCCAUGCCGCGUGUGUGAAGAAGGCCUUUUGGUUGUAAAGCACUUUAAGCGAGGAGGAGGCUACUUGGAUUAAUACUCUAGGAUAGUGGACGUUACUCGCAGAAUAAGCACCGGCUAACUCUGUGCCAGCAGCCGCGGUAAUACAGAGGGUGCGAGCGUUAAUCGGAUUUACUGGGCGUAAAGCGUGCGUAGGCGGCUUUUUAAGUCGGAUGUGAAAUCCCUGAGCUUAACUUAGGAAUUGCAUUCGAUACUGGGAAGCUAGAGUAUGGGAGAGGAUGGUAGAAUUCCAGGUGUAGCGGUGAAAUGCGUAGAGAUCUGGAGGAAUACCGAUGGCGAAAGCAGCCAUCUGGCCUAAUACUGACGCUGAGGUACGAAAGCAUGGGGGAGCACACAGGAUUAUAUACCCUGGUAGUCCAUGCCGUAAACGAUGUCUACUAUC
rnacentral:rRNA from 1 species